rnacentral:rRNA from 1 species
UACAGAGGGUGCAAGCGUUGUUCGGAAUUAUUGGGCGUAAAGGGCGCGUAGGCGGUGCGGUAAGUCUGUACGUGAAAUCUCUGGGCUCAACUCAGAGUCUGCUGCAGAAACUGCCGUGCUUGAGUGUGGGAGAGGUGAGUGGAAUUCCCGGUGUAGCGGUGAAAUGCGUAGAUAUCGGGGAGGAACACCUGUGGCGAAAGCGGCUCACUGGACCACAACGUGACGCUGAGGCGCGAAAGCUAGGGGAGCAAACAGG